rnacentral:rRNA from 1 species
CCUACACAUGCAAGUCGAACGAAGUAGCAAUACUUAGUGGCAGACGGGUGAGUAACAUGUAGGUAUCUGCCCUUUGGCCUGGAAUAACACGAGGAAACUUGUGCUAAUACCGGAUAAGUCUUUACGGAGAAAGCUUUAUGCACCAUUGGAUGAGCCUGCACUUGAUUAGUUUGUUGGUGGGGUAAUGGCCUACCAAGACUGUGAUCAAUAGCUGAUUUGAGAGGAUGAUCAGCCACAUUGGGACUGAGACACGGCCCAAACUCCUACGGGAGGCAGCAGUGGGGAAUCUUGCACAAUGGAGGAAACUCUGAUGCAGCGAUGCCGCGUGAGUGAAGAAGGCCUUUGGGUUGUAAAGCUCUUUCGUCGGGGAAGAAAAUGACUGUACCCGAAUAAGAAGGUCCGGCUAACUUCGUGCCAGCAGCCGCGGUAAUACGAAGGGACCUAGCGUAGUUCGGAAUUACUGGGCUUAAAGAGUUCGUAGGUGGUUGAAAAAGUUAGUGGUGAAAUCCCAGAGCUUAACUCUGGAACUGCCAUUAAAACUUUUCAGCUAGAGUAUGAUAGAGGAAAGCAGAAUUUCUAGUGUAGAGGUGAAAUUCGUAGAUAUUAGAAAGAAUACCAAUUGCGAAGGCAGCUUUCUGGAUCAUUACUGACACUGAGGAACGAAAGCAUGGGUAGCGAAGAGGAUUAGAUACCCUCGUAGUCCAUGCCGUAAACGAUGUGUGUUAGACGUUGGAAAUUUAUUUUCAGUGUCGCAGCGAAAGCGAUAAACACACCGCCUGGGGAGUACGACCGCAAGGUUAAAACUCAAAUGAAUUGACGGGGACCCGCACAAGUAGUGGAGCAUGUGGUUUAAUUCGAAGAUACGCGCAGAACCUUACCAACACUUGACAUGUUCGUCGCGACUCUAAGA